AGAGUUUGAUCCUGGCUCAGAUUGAACGCUGGCGGCAGGCUUAACACAUGCAAGUCGAACGGUAACAGGAAGAAAGCUUGCUUUCUUUGCUGACGAGUGGCGGACGGGUGAGUAAUGCUUGGGAAUCUGGCUUAUGGAGGGGGAUAACUACGGGAAACUGUAGCUAAUACCGCGUAGUAUCGGAAGAUGAAAGUGUGGGACCGCAAGGCCACAUGCCAUGAGAUGAGCCCAAGUGGGAUUAGGUAGUUGGUUAGGUAAAGGCUGACCAGGCCGACGAUCUCUAGCUGGUCUGAGAGGAUGACCAGCCACACUGGAACUGAGACACGGUCCAGACUCCUACGGGAGGCAGCAGUGGGGAAUAUUGCACAAUGGGGGGAACCCUGAUGCAGCCAUGCCGCGUGAAUGAAGAAGGCCUUCGGGUUGUAAAGUUCUUUCGGUGAUGAGGAAGGUGUUUGUUUUAAUAGAACAAACAAUUGACGUUAGUCACAGAAGAAGCACCGGCUAACUCCGUGCCAGCAGCCGCGGUAAUACGGAGGGUGCGAGCGUUAAUCGGAAUGACUGGGCGUAAAGGGCACGCAGGCGGUGACUUAAGUGAGAUGUGAAAGCCCCGAGCUUAACUUGGGAAUUGCAUUUCAUACUGGGUCGCUAGAGUAUUUUAGGGAGGGGUAGAAUUCCACGUGUAGCGGUGAAAUGCGUAGAGAUGUGGAGGAAUACCGAAGGCGAAGGCAGCCCCUUGGGAAUAUACUGACGCUCAUGUGCGAAAGCGUGGGGAGCAAACAGGAUUAGAUACCCUGGUAGUCCACGCUGUAAACGCUGUCGAUUUGGGGAUUGGGCUUAGAGCUUGGUGCCCGUAGCU
rnacentral:rRNA from 1 species